AGUGAACGCUGGCGGCAGGCCUAACACAUGCAAGUCGAGCGGCAGCGGGUUCCCGCGAGGGGAUGCCGGCGAGCGGCGGACGGGUGAGGAACACAUCGGAAUCUGCCUGGUUGUGGGGGAUAACGUAGGGAAACUUACGCUAAUACCGCAUGCGACCCUGAGUCGACGGACUGGGGGUGAAAGUGAGGGACCUUCGGGCCUCACGCGACCAGAUGAGCCGAUGUCGGAUUAGCUAGUUGGCGGGGUAACGGCCCGCCAAGGCGACGAUCCGUAGCUGGUCUGAGAGGAUGAUCAGCCACACUGGGACUGAGACACGGCCCAGACUCCUACGGGA
rnacentral:rRNA from 1 species